UACGGAGGAUGCGAGCGUUAUCCGGAUUUAUUGGGUUUAAAGGGUGCGUAGGCGGGAUGCCAAGUCAGCGGUAAAAAUGCGGUGCUCAACGCCGUCGAGCCGUUGUAACUGGCGUUCUUGAGUGGGCGAGAAGUAUGCGGAAUGCGUGGUGUAGCGGUGAAAUGCAUAGAUAUCACGCAGAACUCCGAUUGCGGAGGCAGCAUACCGGCGCCCUACUGACGCUGAGGCACGAAAGCGUGGGUAUCGAACAGG
rnacentral:rRNA from 1 species